rnacentral:rRNA from 1 species
GACGAACGCUGGCGGCGUGCUUAACACAUGCAAGUCGAACGGAAAGGCCCUGCUUUUGUGUGGUGCUCGAGUGGCGAACGGGUGAGUAACACGUGAGUAACCUGCCCUUGACUUUGGGAUAACUUCAGGAAACUGGGGCUAAUACCGGAUAGGAGCUCCUGCUGCAUGGUGGGGGUUGGAAAGUUUCGGCGGUUGGGGAUGGACGCGCGGCUUAUCAGCUUGUUGGUGGGGUAGUGGCUUACCCAGGCUUUGGCGGGUAGCCGGCCUGAGAGGGUGGCCGGCGUCAUGGGGCCUGAGAGAGGGCCCAGACGCCAACGGGAGGCAGGGGUGGGGAGUAUUGCACAAUGGGCGGAAGUGUGAGACAACAGCGCCGGGUGCGGGAUGACGGCCUUCGGGUUGGAAACCGCUGUCGGCUGUGACGAAGCGUGAGUGACGGUAAUGGGUGAAGAAGCACCGGCUAACUACGUG